GGAGAAUUGACCGAGAGGCCGAAAGUGCUCCCCUGCUAAGGGAGUGGUCCUUAGGGGCCCGAAGGUUCGAAUCCUUCAUUCUCCGCCA
rnacentral:tRNA from 1 species